UACGGAGGGUGCGAGCGUUAUUCGGAAUUACUGGGCGUAAAGCGCGUGCAGGCGGGAAGGUAAGUCUGAUGUGAAAGCCCCGGGCUUAACCCGGGAAGUGCAUUGGAAACUGCUUUUCUUGAGUACUGGAGAGGAAGGGGGAAUUCCCGGUGUAGAGGUGAAAUUCGUAGAGAUCGGGAGGAAUACCAGUGGCGAAGGCGCCCUUCUGGACGGUUACUGACGCUGAGACGCGAAAGCGUGGGGAGCAAACAGG
rnacentral:rRNA from 1 species